rnacentral:tRNA from 1 species
GAUGUGGCGGAACUGGUAGACGCCCUGGAUUUAGGUUCCAGUGCCGAAAGGCGUGGGGGUUCGAGUCCCUUCAUC